CCUUUUGACCAGUCUCUCCAUCUUUUUCAUCCAGUUUCACCCAAGAGCUUCGUGUUAGAUAUAGAUGUGGGGAUGUCUAGCCACACCAUAUCAACCUCUUUUCUAGUCAAAGGGGUGAAGGAAUUCAGAGAAAAAUUAUAAACUGAA
ensembl:ncRNA B0495.21 ncRNA